rnacentral:rRNA from 1 species
CCUACGGGAGGCAGCAGUGGGGAAUAUUGGGCAAUGGAGGCAACUCUGACCCAGCAACGCCGCGUGAAUGAUGAAGGUCUUCGGAUUGUAAAGUUCUGUGAUGGGGGAUGAACACAAUGACGGUACCCCAAUAGCAAGCCACGGCUAACUACGUGCCAGCAGCCGCGGUAAUACGUAGGUGGCAAGCGUUAUCCGGAAUGACUGGGCGUAAAGGGUGCGUAGGUGGUUUAGUAAGUUGGCGGUGUAAUUCCGGGGCUCAACCUCGGCGCUACCGCCAAAACUAUUGAACUUGAGUGCAGGAGAGGUAAGCGGAAUUCCUAGUGUAGCGGUGAAAUGCGUAGAUAUUAGGAGGAACACCAGUGGCGAAGGCGGCUUACUGGACUGUAACUGACGUUGAGGCUCGAAAGCGUGGGGAGCAAUCAGGAUUAGAUACCCCUGUAGUC